AGCGAACGCUGGCGGCGUGCCUAACACAUGCAAGUCGAGCGAGAAAGGGGGCUUCGGCCCUCAGUACAGCGGCGAACGGGUGCGUAACACGUGGGUGAUCUGUCCUCAAGACGGGGAUAACUCAGCGAAAGUUGGGCUAAUACCGGAUAAGGCCACAAGAGGAAACUCUAGAGGUCAAAGGGUGCUUUCUUUUGGAAGCAUUCGCUGGAGGAGGAGCCCGCGACCUAUCAG
rnacentral:rRNA from 1 species